UAAUAAUUCUCUGGAUCUGCAUAACUGCAAUUUGUACAUGAAAUAAUAGUUAAAAAAUUUUCCAAAAUCAUUGUUAUGCAAAAAUUAGAAUUUUCUUUUUGUCUUUAAUUUCACUUUUUUUUUUUUAAACUAUUCUGUAGAAGUAGACUAAGUAAUAGCAAUAUUGUGAUUAUUCUUAGUAAGGAAAAAAUUAAUUAACUUUAACUCGGGUUGAAACUAUUCCUAAAGCCAAAUCUCAACUAAGGCUCGAUCAACAAAAACAAAAAUCAUCAAAUUUCUUACACAUUGGUUCCCUUCCAAA
rnacentral:misc_RNA from 1 species